rnacentral:lncRNA from 1 species
GACCACUAGGGGUGCUUGGGCUUUGAUCAUAGUGCAAAGAUCUGGCAAUUAAUUAAUAAGAGUAAUUUGUUAAGAUGUUACACUACAAACUUAUAGUCAGUGUGUGUGUGUGUGUGUGUGUGAGUGUGUGUGUGUAUGUACAGUAUUGCUGGAGAUCAACUCUAGGCUGGUUACUAUCUUUAAUUUUACAGAAAACUCCUGUAAUAUAUGUCUAAAUUUUUUGCUUGAAUUAUCCAAUUUUUGAGUAUGUGUUUAUAGUUCAUGUGUUUAUAGCUUUGCUGUAUCAGUCAACUCUAACUGCUAUACCAAAUUACCAUAAAUUGGAUGACUAGACAACAAACAUUUUCGGAAGCUGGAAAUCCAAGAUCAGCAUAACUGAGUCCUGGUGAGGAUCCUCUGGCAUGAUAGCUGUUCUUAUAUUUUCUUUUAAGGGCAUGAAUCCUGUCAUAAGGGGUAUACCUUCAGACCAUAUUACCUUCUAAUAGCCCCACCUCCAAAUACCAUCACAAUGGAAAUUAAGAUUUAAUAUAUGAAUUUUUUUGGUAGGGGCAGAGACAUGCAACACAUAAGAAACACCUAUGAUGAAUUUAUACAUUAUUUUGCUGUAUUUGUAUAAUCUAUUGUUGUUAACUGCAAAUGCUAAGAGAAAUAGAUUUGAUUUCUUCCAACUGUCUCUUCAGGCAAUGACAGCAGAAUUGAUGUUCUCCUGGUUUCCCAGUGCAGAGGUCCAUCAACAAGAGAGAUGGUGUCAGGAUCUUCUAGAGCAUCCUCUGAUUACCUCUGUGACUAGAGGGUGCCUAAGCAAGUCAGAGGACUUUAUAUUCCAAACUGUUAAAAAUUCAAAUGUCACCCACACACCUGCAGACCAUGUGGCCACCUGAUUCACAUUCCUUCGUCUUUGGAGUCACUGGGAAGGAGGCGAACAGCUGCUUGUGAGAUGCCAUAAUAUUGAUUAACAGUGUCUACAGGAAAUCAGCUCAAGACAAUUAAUUUUUACAGCACGAGUCCAGUACUUGCAAACAUUCUAUUAAAAUUAUGCAUUGUUAAUUGAUACUUCUGGGAAUUAGGAACAAAGACCUGUUUGCCAAAAGAAAAAAAAAAAGAAAGAAAAGAAAGGGCACAACUGUAUUACAUAUUCAUAUUGACUUUCUACUUUACAAUCUGGUAGGGAGGGGUAAUGAGAGCUGUGAUCUAGCAAACCUGUUAUAGAUAAAAAAUUAUAGCCCCUUUCCUUUUGUUUCUUAAUCAUGAACAUUAGGAAUGGUGUUCUAAGAUAAUGAGUCGCUGCUGUGCCAACUGAAAUGCUUCUGUACUCUGUCAAUCUUCCUUCCACUUUUGUACCUCCAGGGGCAAACAACACAGAGGCCCUGGGCUACAGUGUGUGCAUGCUUUUAAAAUUCAUUUUUUUGGUGUCUAUUUGCAUUGCUAGACCACCAGAGAGCAUGGGACCACUGACAUCUUCUCUGCAGUGUUUGAGAACAGAGACUGAAGAGAGAUUUCCAUAGCUGUUGACCCUAGCUCUAAGACCCUAACCAAAAUAUGUUACAGAAGGCAUCAAGUUGAAUAUGGAUCCUAGGAAUGAGAAUUUCCUUGGCUUAGUGGAAAAUCACCAUUCUAUGUUUUUCCUAAUUUGUUCAAGUAUUUAUGUUUUCCUGUAUGAUGCACAGGCUUGUUGCUUAAUUCUUUUGCAAAAGAAACUGUCACCUUCUUCAUGCAUGCUCACAACCCCCAUAAUAAUAUAAUGGAGAGACUGAAGAAAGGUAACCUUUAUGGAAAUUUAUUGUAUAAAAUAACAAUGACAAGAGCAACACAAACAAUAUUGGUCAUUAAAACAAUUAAGAUGCAUUAUAUAAACGUACUAACUCCUUGGGACGAAUAGAUGAAUAUAAUCAUUAUGCAACUACAAACAUGUACCAAUAAAAUAAGAAAGUCUUUCCUUUUAAUAGCUCUAGCAAACAAGGAAUAAUUGUAUCUCUUAAAAAUCGAGAGAAUGGAUUAAAUGUCUAAAUGCAAUUGCUGAACUAAAAAUAUCUUUAUUUUGAGUUGGCCACUUCAGCUUAGCUGCUUUACAUUCCAGGCUUUCCUUUUACAUGUUAAACUUAUUAAUUAUUCUUUAUUCAUUAGGUUUUCAUUUGGAAGAAGCCCCUUAAUCUCAUUGAAAUUGGAAAUAGGGGCUGAUGAUGGAGAAGAAAUUUGAAUAGAGAGGAAUUGGUUUUAGAUGCCCACCAAUGAAGAUGGCAUUCGUUUAGAGGCUAUUCUGAACAAAGUUAGGGCUUCAGGCUAUGGAGGCUGGGGAAUUGUGGCCCCAUCACUUUUGACCCAUGGGAUCUUGGGCCAAAGACUUAUUUUUUUCUAAUUCAGCAUCUUCAUUUGUAUGCUCAUGAUUGUCUUAGACCAUCCUCGAAGGAUUAUAGAAAGGUUAAAUGAGAAAAUACAUGUAAAACUUCUGGUAUGUUCUGAAUGUCUAAUAUUUAAACUUUAAUGGCUGUCAUCAUUAUUGCAAUUCUCCUUGAGUAAAAGUACCUUUAUAGCAGAAUAAAGUGAUUUAUGUCUGUGUACUAAAAUAACUAUUUUUAUUUAUCACAAUGCAAAAGCAUUUUUUCAUUUUCUUAACUGAAUUUACGUUUAGUAUUGAUAUACAUCUGAGUUUUGAAUGUGCAAAAUAUUUGAAAAUAGUGAAGCCAAAUCUUUUAAAAUACGGCCUUCCCCUGACUCCUUGACUUUUUCUCCCAAACUCCUGAGAUCUGUAAGAGACUGUAGUGAUCUCGCGUCAUCCCAGAAUAACAGCCCUAAUAUAAUCACAAUGUAAGGGUCAAGGAAGAAUGUCACAAAUUUGUUGUUUUCUGCAGGCUCUAAGAUUCUAUCUGUACAAUACCAUGACAACCAGUUAGAAAGAGAAAAAUUUAGUUAUCCAUGUAGUUCUGGUAGCUGCACGAAGCCAAACAAUUGACUUCAAUCUUAUUCUGUUUCACUGCAUUGAUGAGAUUCAACUCAUAGUUCUGAUAUCAUGUGUGUGACCUAAAUCAUAUUCUCUUACACUCUGGAGAAGGUUUUAAUUGAGUAUUUAAUGGAAUAUUUGCUCAAUCUGAAAGGCUUUCCUUUGCACAUGUGUGUGAGGAGAAUUGCAAGCUAGUGAUUAUGUAUACUGGGAGAGGCUCUGCUUCAUUUUUGGGACUUUAUGAUAUUUUUCCCAUGGGGAUGGGGGUAGUUGGUGAUUUUAAGUCAGGCUCACCUGGAGUAGGUUCACAGGACUAUGAAAAAGACUGCUUUGAUCAUGGCCACUUGUACUUUGUACAUAUUUAUUUCUCAUUGUAAGUUCUACCCAGAUCUACCCAUGAUUUGUUGUUAUGUGUUAUAUUGGAUAGAAAAGACAGUUCUGAAGUUAAAUAGACUGCUAAAAGUCUAAGUACAGAGAUUUUCAGCAAAUUACUUUAUGUUCCUAAGCUUCUGUUUUCUCAUCAGUAAAGUGUAUUUUUUUUUUAAGGAAAUAAGGCAAUCAAUGUAGUGCUUAGCAGAGAGUCUGGCACAAUCUAUGCAUUAUGCAGUGUUUAUUUUUAUAUUCCUGUGCUCACAGAAUACAUAUAUGUAAAAUUAAUUUUCUACUAAUGUGUCUUAUAAAUUAAAACUGUUAAAAAACUUCCUUUCAAAAGAAGCUGCUAAACAGCAUCAAUUUUCAAUUAAAAUAAAAUAGCUCAUCUAUCCUUCUUGUGCUAGACAUGUUGGUUCUAAGAAGAAUUCCACAUAGACCUUCUGCUUUGUGUGAAAGAACAAAUAAAGGACACUCCCGGAGACAGCCCAAGCUAUGACACUGUAGUUUUCUUUCCACACAUCUCCAGGAUUUGGUGGCAAUGACAAAUGGCAACUCAAAGCAGUUUUCCGAAGGCCUCUUUCAAACAAUCCAAACAGUUCUUGUUUGAUUUGGCUAUUUACUGUCAUUCUUACAUGAAAAGAAAUAAAUGUUUGGCAACAAACUUCUGCAUGCUGCCAAAAGGGAGCUUCCAAGAGUCAGUGUGUCACUGGGCAGUCGUUCAAUCCACCAGGGGAACAUUUUUUAAACACAAUGUGAAUAGUCCAUUCCUCUGUAAACUGCAUCUCCUGUAACAGCUGUUUAGGUUCACACAUGAGUUUCAGGUGGACUACACCUUUAUAAUGGUUCUAUCUUUUUAUUUGGAAAUAAUUUCAAACUUAGAGAAAAGUUGCAAAAGUUGUACAGAGUUCCCAUUACUUAAUUCCCACAAUAAAAUUGUGUAUUGUAAAAUUAUGUAUGAUAACCAUGGAUAAUAUAUAAUUAUAUAUUAAUUAAUAACAAUUGCAUUUUUAUUCAACACCUAUUAUAAAACUUGUGAUAUUAUUGAUAAUGCUACACUUCAUUCCAAAUCAUGUGAGGGGCUAGAAAGAGUAUUUUCUUCCUAUUUAUGAAUGAGGAAAUUGAGACACAAGUCACAGAGCCAGGUGAGGCAGAGUCAGAACUGAACACUUUGUAUUUAAUUCUCACCCCUGAGAUCCUUUAAUCUAAACAUUAUUUUCCAUUAAGGGAUAAAAAUUAAUAAAUAUUGAGACCAGAGGAAGUCAUUAAAUAUAAUAUAUAAUGACAUAUAUGAUAUUUCUGUAUGCUAUGUGAAUCAUCAUUUUGACUGUUGUUUGGCUAAUAUAAUACUGAGUGUGUCUACACUCCACCCUCCCUCAUAUUUAGUUCACUCCUUCCCUAAAUAUCUCUAGAAUCAUUUCCUGCUUCAAAUACCAUUACUGCUGCCUAGAAUUCAGAUGUUCCCUACUUGUAUUUUUGCAGAAAUAAAUUUAUUUAUCAUCCUAAUUCCUCAUUGUUGCUAGAGUAAUUUUUCUAAACCGCAGAUCUAAUCAUGUCAUUCUUCCAUUUAAACUCCAAUGAGCUUCCGUAGAUUGGGCAUUUUUUCCCAAGUACCGUAUGUGACACUCAGGUUCCAUCAUCUCCUUUAACCCACACAAUCCCAUGGACUAAGCUUUAUGUCAUUACUUUGAUUUGGUAAAUUCAUUGGCUGAAAUAAUGUGGUAGCUAAAGGGCAGAGCCAAAAUUUAAACUUAGGAAUUUAGAGAUGAUCAGAUCAACUGUUGAGCCCAUUGCGUGUAGGAUAAAAGUCUGGAUUCCUGAGCCAUUCAGCUGAGAU